AGCACAUGCAUGCGUUCUGAGCUGGCAUUAGAAUUCUCUAUAAGAAGCCUGUGAUUGGACCCUGCGUAACCCCUGUGGCAUUGGAGGGAGUACAGAAGAUGGAGCUUCCUGGGUUCGAGGUGAGUAAAAAACUUUUUUUUUUUACACAUUUUACUAAAAAGAGAGGAGGUAGAGGGGGCCUUCUCCUCAGUGCCAAAUAGGGCAUAUUACAACGGAAAGGUUCCCCCCUCCAAAGGGUAAAAGUAACCCUUUAGGAAUUCAUUCUGAUCCAGUGCAUCUCAGCGACUCAGAGCUGGGUAAUCCAAUCAUGUGAAAGUGCUGGACAGCAAGUGAGUGCUGACUGUGAUUAUAAAUAGCUAGAGGUGCAGUAAACACUCUGCCUUGCAGUAUAGUAAAAGAGGUUCGCAGGGCCAGUGAUGGAGAUCAUACUGACUUGUGAAGCCCACUGAGAGCCAAUGACCAGGUGAAUGCCUAAUUCACCAUAACGUAGUGCCAGUCCUGAAUCCCUAAAUCAAACCAAUAGUGUUAGUCAGUCUAUAACACUCUAACAAGAAAUCACAGGUAGAAAAUGACAUGAGAAAAUAUGAUACCUAGAACAGUAGCUUGUGCUUGCAAAUCUACUCAUGUUAAUAGGCAUUCUUUGGCCUAUUUUCCUGUUACUAUAGGAAUGUACGGAAUUCCGCUGAUCAUUGUUUAAGUAUGGAUAAGGUUCAGCGGUUGCCAUGAUAAUAGAAACCUAGAUUAAAUGACUAAUCGAAACUAUAUUUAUGAACCUCUUAGCGUGGGAAAGUGAAGAUUAAAUGCUUUCAAAGUUAGAAAAAAUGCCUUACGGGUAGGAUGACUUUAAAUUCCUGUGGUUUAGACAACACAUGUUUAAGGAAUGAGCACUGAGACAGUGCAGUAAUGAUGACAGGUAAGUAUUUUGUACCAAUGUUGUUUGCACAUGGUCCAUGAUGAAAAAUGUACGUAGCUGACUUUCAACAUAUGCUGUAAUAUUAUAACAGCUCUAUCUGCCUAUAUUGAUAUGUAUGUUUUUUUUUAUGUCAAUCUUUAUUUUAUUAUGGCAUUUGAGUCACAGGGUACAGAAUAAAGAGAGGAGUUAUUGCAUGGUAACACGUAAGAAAGGUAUCAGCGUGAUUUGGAGUACACUCCCAAGAAAGACUGCCACGUUUUUUAUAAUAAGUGAACAUAAUAAAACAAGUUAGAUAUAACUGAUGCGUAAGAAUAACUAAAGAUUACUUGUUAGACAUCUGAGGUCAAGCAUUUAUAUCAAGGGUUAAACGACUAACAUGCGGUGGAUGAAGCCUGUGUACGUGGAGGCUGUCUAACUAACUCUGUGCGCAGAGAUGAAUAAAUUCCACCAAAACCAAGCCUCGUUACUUCCCCACGAUCAGUUAAGUCUGCGCUAAUGCUGGGGGGGCUCCCUGGGUUGCUCUAGCGGUGCUAUCUGGUGUGUUAUCAGCUCGUUGCGUGCGUAUUAUGGGUGGGAAAAUGCUACUUAGGAAAUAACAUGUCUAGCUUAACAUAUUUCUCAUGAGGGAUAAGUGCAUAAUAAGCGAGGAUCAUGUUAAAGAGAACACUGAGCUCUAGCAAACCACUCCCCUCCCUACACAUUUAGAGCUCUGUGCAUGGACUCCAACUAUACGGCAAUAGUCAAACCGGAAAAGUAAAAAAAAAAAAAAAACUUAGAGUGUCCGCAGGAAUGGUCAAAAUAGUGUUUUGGUAAAAAAAUGCCGCCAGGAGCGGCGAUAACUUGCGACUGCUCUGCUCCGAGGUCAGGCCCCGCCCCCCUUGAUAUGUAUGUUUUAUAAUAAUAUAUAUAUCAAUAUUUAUUUUAAAAAAAUUAGCUUUCUGCUAGCAAUAUAUUUUUUACACAGCAUUAGAAUUUAAUUUCAUUUUCAGCAGAAAUACUCACACAUGAGUUUUAUUCACUAUACAGUGACUUGUAAUGAUUUGAAAAGUAAACUGGAAAAUGUAGGCUACAGUAGCUGUUUUGUAAAAAUUCUUGAAUCUGGCUGUAGUCACUGCUUGGCUAUUUCAGCAUAAAUUAGGCAUAUUCCAGUGAAGUAAUAGUCUAUAAUUAUUGUGUUUAAUUACUGCUUCUGUUCCUGCUACUCCCUUUAAUGUAGUUGUUCUGGUGUCUACUGCCAGUCUCUGCAGGUUUUAAUGUAAACACUCAGAGAAAAUGCAGUGUUUACAUUACUGCCCAGUAACACCUCUAGUGGCAGUCACUCAGACAACCACUAGAGGUGCUUCCUGGGUCAGUACUGCACAAGGUGCAGCAAUGAUGUUUAGCGUCUCCAUGCUCUGCAUGGAGACGCUGAAUGCUCCCCAUAGGGAUGCAUUGAUUCAAAGCAUCUCUCUGAGGAGAUGCUGAUUGGCACAGCAUGGAUUUCUGGCAUUCUGUGGGAAAGCAUUUGAUUGGCUGAUAUCAUAAAGUUUAAUUAUCUCAGCUAAAGGGGCCAUGGGGUGGAGCCAGCUGCGGGGAGACCUGCGCGGCACAGUAAAAAGGUGAGUAAAUCCACCUUUUUAACACGUGGCAAUGGCGAGGGGGCGGUCACCUAAACAGCUUUAGAUGUUUACACCUUUGGAGCGAAGGGUCCUUUUGUGUUUCAAAUGAACCAUUGGGCACUAUGGAGGAGAUCCCUCUGCUCCAGUUUCAUCAAAACCUGAAAAAAUAAAGUUUUUUUACUCACCUCCUAAUGUCAAUGGGAAUUGCCAAGUGCCAAGUACAACACAGCUUCUCAAUUCUGGUUUUGAAGCCAUUACUGACUGUCUGACAGCUGGGAAGGUGUUGCCCAAGGUGUUUUUUUUUUUUUUAAAGUGAUUGGAAUUACUACUUUGAGGAUGAAAUUGACAACAAAUUUUAAAUUUAGGGCAAAGUAGCUGAACUGAAAGCAAAGGAUUUUUUCCAGUUUAGCUAUUUUGGCCCUAAAUUUUAAAUUCACUUUUAAUGCUCACUUUAGUGAAUAACCCUGCAUGGAUUCUCGUGAAUUCCAUCUAUUUAAUACAUGCAUCUGUAUAUUUGGCAAAUGUGUCUUCACUUGGCUAUCGAUCAUAACAUGUAUAAACUGAGUUCUAGCAAGAAGAGUUGUAUGAUUCAUACAGAAGCUUUUCAUACAAUGCAUGAUUCAUAGAUGAAAAAUUGAAAAGCCAUAGGAUAUAUAUUUCUCAGCUAUUAAAUAUUCUCAGUUAUUGCAAUAAAGGGAUAUUAACUCCUUCAGUGCCCAGCCAGCCUGUUUAGUUGUUCUAAUGAUCAGCUGGUGUUCACCUCUCGUGUUUGAAGGAUGGUUUUGUUAUGGCUUUUGGGAUUGUCUAGCUACUUCUGGAGCUUAGUUAUAAGCCUUCUCAUUAACCGAUACCCUAGUACAAAAAGUAUUUUAAUUUUGAUUAGUGCUAGAUGAUCAGCAUUGUGAUUACCUGAUGCUAGAUCAUCCAAAACUAGGACGAACUUGGCAUUGUUUAUUGUGUUUGCAAUCUUUAAAAUAAUGGAUUUCGAUGGGUCAUGGCUCAUUACAAUGCCACAAAGUUAUUCCAAUUAAAAUACAGUGGGACCUCAGUUUCCGAAAUUAAUGCGUUCUCUGGGACGUUUCUUAUUGUGAAAAAUGUGUAAACUGAAACGUGGUUUCCCAUAGGAAUGCAUUGAAAACCAAUAAAUCCGUUCUGGAGGUCAGAAAAAAGUCAAAAUGAGCUGGCAUGGAAACCAACCCACAAUGCAGAGCAUACAAUAAAAGGCAUGCAAACAACGAAGCUCAGCUCCCUACCUUUCCACAGCUUGAGAAAUGCACCAAAAAGUCCCAAAACAACUGCAAACAGUUUCCAGAAUGGCUCAUAAAUUCGAUGCAAACGCCGCACCAACACCUCCACACUCAACGCCACGUGCAGGGGGCGGAGCUAUAAACCUCCCAGGCAGUGGCGGAUCCAGGGCCUGAUCUCGGGAGGGGCACUUGUAGAUUAUUUAAAGAAAUAAUCCAGGCACAGUAACCACUACAGCUCAGUGUAGUAGUUAUGGUUCCAGUAGUGCCAGGAUCCCAUCUCAGAGUAAGUAGUCAAACCGUUUAAGAACAGUUUGACAACUUACCUGGAGUCUCCUGGGAUAUAGAGCAUAGGAGCAGUGGUAUGUGUUAGGGGUGAAGUGUGUGUGAAAGGUGCAGUGUGUGUGAGUGGUGAAGUGCGAGUGCGUGAGGGCGGCCGUGUAUGUCAGGCAUACAGUGUGUGUGCUAGGGGGCAGUAUAUGUGUGGGGCAGUGUGUGUAUGGGGAGCACUGUAUGUGUGUGUGUGGGGCAGUGUGUGUAUGGAAGCCACUGUAUGUGUUGUGGGGGGCAGUGUGUGUAUGGGGGGCACUGUAUGUGUGUGUGUGGGGCAGUGUGUGUAUAGGGAGCACUGUAUGUGUGUGUGGGGCAGUGUGUGUAUGAGGAGCACUGUAUGUGUGUGUGUGUGGGGCAGUGUGUGUAUGGGGAGCACUGUAUGUGUGUGUGGGGCAGUGUGUGUAUGUGUAUGUGUGUGUGGGGCAGUGUGUGUAUGGGGUAGCACUGUAUGUGUGUGUGUGGGGCAGUGUGUGUAUGGGGAGCACUGUAUGUGUGUGUGUGUGGGGCAGUGUGUGUAUGGGGAGCACUGUAUGUGUGUGUUGGGGGCCGUGUGUGUAUAUGGGGGGCACUGUAUGUGUGUGUGUGUGGGGCAGUGUGUAUAUGGGGGGCACUGUAUGUGUGUGUGUGGGGCAGUGUGUGUAUGGGGGCACUGUAUGUGUGUGUGGAGCAGUGUGUAUAUAGGGAGCACUGUAUGUGUGUGUGUGUGGGGGGCAGUGUGUGUAUGGGGAGCACUGUAUGUGUGUGUGGGGCAGUGUGUGUAUGGGGAGCACUAUAUGUGUGUGUGGGGGGCAGUGUGUGUAUGGGGAGCACUGUAUAUGUGUGUGUGUGUGGGGCAAUGUGUCUAUGGGUGUGCAGUGUGCAGUUUUCCCCCCCUUCUCCCCCGGAUCCGCAACUGCUCCCAUGUGCAAUGCAUCCUGGGGAAACUUGCUUUGUAUUGUGCAAAAAUGUGUAAACCGAGGCAUUAUUUUCAAUGGAUUUUCAUUAGUAAACCGAAAAUUAUGUUAAGCGAGGCGUUUGUAAACCGAGGUCCCACAGUAUACAUUUUACAAAUGUAGCAUUUUUAUCAUUUGCCAUAAGGCCUAUGCAUACUAUUUUUCUCAACACACUCUUUUCUACAAAGAAGAGUCUAAUAUUCUCUGAUUCUAAAGGAUGUACAUAUUUUUAAAAUAGGGAGAAACACAAAAAUAUGUUUUACUUUAACAGCAACUGCAUCUGGAAAUAUUGGAGCACCCUAAACAUGCAAUAACAAUCAGGGGUGUCACUGGGGGGGCAGAGGGGGCCAAUCCCCGCCCCUACAUCAUGCAGUGCCCCUCCUUGUGCCCCCCGAAUUGAAAUUGAAGCCGGGAGCACUGAGUCUCCCUACACAAGCUGCAGCAGCAGUGCACUGAGGUGGAAGAAUUAUUUGAAAAAUUCCCACGUGCGGCCAAAUGGGACACUGUGUUGGGAGAAACUUUCUACUGGAUCACAGAGAGAAGCGCAGGGGAAAGACAGGGAAAGGAAGCUCAGCUCUGCCAGGGGGAAUGAGGCUCCCAGGCAACUGCUGGUAAGUGUAAGUCAGUGAGUGUGAUUCAGUAUGUGUGUUUGUGGUUCAGUCUGUGUGUGUGUGUUGGGGGGGUGGGAGGGUGCCCAGUCUGUGUGUGGGGAGAUCAGUCUGUGUGUGUGGGUCUGUCUAUGUGUGUGUGGCUGGGGGAGGAGGGAUCAAUCUCUGUGUAUGGUGGGAGGGUCAUGUGUAUGUGUCAGUCUGUGUCGGGGGGUCAAUCUGUGUGUGUGUGUGUUGGGGGUCAGUCUCUGUGUGUGUGGAGGGGGGUUAGUCUGUGUGCGGGGGGGUUCAGCCUGUGUGUAUGAGUCAGUCUGUGUGUGUGUAUGGGUCAGUCUGUGUGUGUAUGGGUCAGUCUGUAAAAGGGCCUGAGCUCCAAGAGAGACCUCUCAUCCAGUGACCUCCCCUGUACACGAUGGACAGGCAGUCUUCUCAAUCACCACGGAUCUGAUUGUGCCACCCCCACACCCCCAUCCUACAGGGAAAAGGGAAUAUAUAUAUUUUUUUUAAACUGUUAUUAAAGUAAAAAUUGUAAAGCCCUUCCCUAUCCCACUCUCUACACCCGUGUGAACACAGUACACCCUCACAGAUAGUGAAACCCCCACAUACAGUACACUCCCACCCACAGAGAGUACACCUUUGCAUACACACAGUGCCCGCCUCACACACUUCAUCCCGGAUAUCAUCUCUUUACCGACAUACAACGUACACACAUCCCCACAAACAUUUACCCACACACACAUAUACAUACAUACUUCACCCCAUUACUCACCAAAUCUCAUAUAUAUAAAUAUAUAUAUAUAUAUAUAUAUAUAUAUAUAUACACAUAUACACAGUAUAUAUACACACAGACAUACACAUACAUCACACUGCAGCCCCUAGAUGCACACGCACACACUUUAAAGGCCCUCUUAGCACACACAAAAUCUUAAAAGCGCCUAUAUAUGAGCAUGUGCUCACACUACAGCACCUAGAUACAGUGUGUAUCAGUGAGCUUGUCUUUAAUGAGCAUGUGUAUGAAUCAAUGAGCUUGUCUGUAGUGAGCUUGUGUGUGUAUCGGUGAGCUUGUCUGUAGUAAGCGUGUGUAUCAGUGAGCGUGCAUGACUUGGAAAAGGGCUGACAAAUCCGAGGCGCCAGGCCGAAAUUUCUAGCCACCGUGGCGAUCUGGUGGCCUGGGAUUUGUCGAGCCCUGUGUAUGUAUGCAUGUAUAUAUAUCAAAAUAUAUAGAGUUUUCAAGUAGAGAUUGUAGCCUUUAUUAGGCCAUUAAAAAAGGUAUGUCCCUGGCCCCUAAUGUGCCACCCUAAAUAUGAAUCCUGGAGAUGCCACUGAUAACAAUGUGACCACUGUAUGCCUAAUGUUGUCUAGCCCCUAAAAUAUACAUUUAUGUACUAGCUCUAUCCCAGGGACUUUAAACUCUGCCCCCCUUUCCCUGAAUGUUUCAGAAUCAUAAGUUCCCAUAAUUCUUUUGCCAUCUAUUGCAUUCAAAGAAUUCAGGCCAUUAACAUUUGGUGGCUAGAAUUUGAGAUUUUAUUAAGACACGGAGGCUCCUAUUAUGCUGCACUCUUUCUUUAUUUCCCUCAGCAGCAAAGAAAAACAAUGAAAUCAACACAGGCCAUGAUUUUAGUAACGACACAGAGGCGAGUAUUAUCACUCCCGCCCUUCCCUGGAUGGUGGUGUAAUCUGGGUAAGUUACAUACGGUAAAUUUCUUUAAUUCGGGCUUGUUCAAUAUUAAGGUGAUUUAGGUUUGAUCUUCUCAUGUCUGUAUCCAUCUCCAACAAUAUGUUGACUGAAUAGAAUUUUAAAUCAGAUAUUGCCUAUUCGUUUUAUUUUAUGCAUGAAUCCUGUUUAAUACUUGGAUAUUACCAUAUUCUACUCUCUCUUACAGCUUGACUUGUUGUUUGCUGUUGGCAUUAUUCUCUUAUUGGAGUUCCUUUUUCGGUUGGAUGGUUGUCCUAGUUCGGGAUCGCAAGAAAGAGGAAAUAGUUUAGUGAACACCACCUAUUAUGCUGGAGGGUGGAACCUGAUUGGCUAUUGGUUGCCAUGGAAGAUACAUGUUACUGACUGUUUCCUGUGUUGAUUUCAUUGUUAAAGUUUUUUCUUAGCU
rnacentral:lncRNA from 1 species